GAUGAACGCUGGCGGCGUGCCUAAUACAUGCAAGUCGAGCGAACGGACGAGAAGCUCGCUUCUCUGAUGUUAGCGGCGGACGGGUGAGUAACACGUGGAUAACCUACCUAUAAGACUGGGAUAACUUCGGGAAACCGUAGCUAAUACCGGAUAAUAUUUUGAACCGCAGGGUUCAAAAGUGAAAGACCGUCUUGCUGUCACUUAUAGAUGGAUCCGCGCUGCAUUAGCUAGUUGGUACGGUAACGGCUUACCAAGGCAACGAUGCAUAGCCGACCUGAGAGGGUGAUCGGCCACACUGGAACUGAGACACGGUCCAGACUCCUACGGGAGGCAGCAGUAGGGAAUCUUCCGCAAUGGGCGAAAGCCUGACGGAGCAACGCCGCGUGAGUGAUGAAGGUCUUCGGAUCGUAAAACUCUGUUAGUAGGGAAGAACAUAUGUGUAAGUAACUGUGCACAUCUUGACGGUACCUAAUCAGAAAGCCACGGCUAACUACGUG
rnacentral:rRNA from 1 species